UACAGAGGUCCCAAGCGUUGUUCGGAUUCACUGGGCGUAAAGGGUGCGUAGGUGGUGGGGUAAGUCGGAUGUGAAAGCUCGGAGCUCAACUCCGAAAUGGCAUUGGAAACUACCCUGCUAGAGGAUUGGAGGGGGGACUGGAAUACUUGGUGUAGCAGUGAAAUGCGCAGAUAUCAGGAGGAACACCGGUGGCGAAGGCGGGUCUCUGGGCAACAACUGACGCUGAGGAGCGAAAGCGUGGGGAGCGAACAGG
rnacentral:rRNA from 1 species